GAAGCCAAGAAUUGUUGGAGUUGGAGCACUAGAAGAAAAAUGAUCAAGAGUGUAACAUUUAGCAUUGGUCAUGACAAAGACGAGACCCUAGGGCAGGAGAGUGGGAGAGAAGGGUGGGCUAGGAUGAUCUGACUGUAGUAGGAGAUGAAGAUGGAGGAACUGAGAGGAAGGCGGGCAUCAGAAGGAUAAUGUACACUAAUGUUGGAAUCUCCAAAAACACAAGCUGAGUUGUUCUGGAGAAAGAAACAGUGAACCAGAUGCUAAAAUUUUUAAGGUCUUGGCUCCCCCCCCCCCAUAUUUUUAAUUUAAAAAGUUUAUUUCAGUUUUGAGGCACUGGGUAUUGAAUCCAGGGACUUGUGCACGUUAGCAAGCACUCUACCACUGAGCUACAUCCCUAGUUCUUUUUAUUUUUUGUUUUGAAACAGGAUCUUUCUAAGUUGCUUAGGUUGACCUCAAAUUUGUAUUUGUUCUGACUUAGUUACCCAAGUAGUUGGUAUCACAAGCAUGUGCCAGUAUUCAUGUAUUUAUAUAUCCCAAAAUGCUCAAUGAAGUCUUGUCUCAAAUAGAAAAGCAAAAGAAUCCAUUUAAAUAACCUUCAAUAAAAGGUUGACUUCAUUAUGGCAUGUCUAUAUAAUGGAAUAAUAUAAAAUAAGGCUAAUUCAUACACAGUGACUAGGAUAUAUGUUACAUAUGUUUUUAAGUGAAGAGAUUAGGUCACAAAUCAAUAUAAAGAGUUAAAUUUAUUUAAAAAUACAUGAUACUUACAGGGAUCUGAUGCUUCAUGCAUAAAGGAUCAUGUAUCCAGCAGAAAUUCUCAGGGUUUGGAGUUGGCAAAACUCUAAGGUCUCCAGGUAAGGCAGAACAAUAUGGAGGAAGAAUGUGGCAGAGGAAGAAGUUCAUAUGAUGAUUGGGAAGCAGAAAGAUGCUCCACUUGCCAGAUACAAAUAUGUACCCCAAAGGCAUGCUCCCAAUGCCACACCUCCUCCAGCCACAUCCUACCUGCCUUCAAUCACGACUCAAUUAAUCCCAAUCAUUUUCUCUCUGAACCCUCUUGCAAUGUCUCACAUGUAAGCUUUGGGGGGACUCUUCACAUCCAAACCAUAACAAUCUGGCUUUUUUUUUUUUUUUUAAAGAAAUUUGUUUCUUUUCUUUCUUUCUUUUUUUUUUUUUUUUGAAAUUCAAGACAUACACCUCUUUUGGAUCUGUAUGUUGCAAAUGCUUUCUCUCACUCUGUGGCUUGCUUUUUAUAUCCUGUUAAUGGUGGUCUUUGACAAAAACUCCAGUACAGUCAUAUUUAUCAAUA